rnacentral:rRNA from 1 species
AUUGAACGCUGGCGGCAUGCUUUACACAUGCAAGUCGAACGGUAACAGGCCGCAAGGUGCUGACGAGUGGCGCACGGGUGAGUAAUGCAUCGGAACGUGCCCAGUCGUGGGGGAUAACUACUCGAAAGAGUAGCUAAUACUGCAUACGAUCUAUGGAUGAAAGCGGGGGACCGUAAGGCCUCGCGCGAUUGGAGCGGCCGAUGUCAGAUUAGGUAGUUGGUGGGGUAAAGGCUCACCAAGCCAACGAUCUGUAGCUGGUCUGAGAGGACGACCAGCCACACUGGGACUGAGACACGGCCCAGACUCCUACGGGAGGCAGCAGUGGGGAAUUUUGGACAAUGGGCGCAAGCCUGAUCCAGCAAUGCCGCGUGCAGGAAGAAGGCCUUCGGGUUGUAAACUGCUUUUGUACGGAACGAAACGGCUCUGGUUAAUACCCGGGGCUAAUGACGGUACCGUAAGAAUAAGCACCGGCUAACUACGUG